GAUGAACGCUGGCGGCGUGCCUAAUACAUGCAAGUCGAGCGAACGGACGAGAAGCUUGCUUCUCUGAUGUUAGCGGCGGACGGGUGAGUAACGCGUGGAUAACCUACCUAUAAGACUGGGAUAACUUCGGAAAACCGGAGCUAAUACCGGAUAAUAUUUUGAACCGCAUGGUUCAAAAGUGAAAGACGGUCUUGCUGUCACUUAUAGAUGGAUCCGCGCUGCAUUAGCUAGUUGGUAAGGUAACGGCUUACCAAGGCAACGAUGCAUAGCCGACCUGAGAGGGUGAUCGGCCACACUGGAACUGAGACACGGUCCAGACUCCUACGGGAGGCAGCAGUAGGGAAUCUUCCGCAAUGGGCGAAAGCCUGACGGAGCAACGCCGCGUGAGUGAUGAAGGUCUUCGGAUCGUAAAACUCUGUUAUUAGGGAAGAACAUAUGUGUAAGUAACUGUGCACAUCUUGACGGUACCUAAUCAGAAAGCCACGGCUAACUACGUG
rnacentral:rRNA from 1 species